AGAAUCAACGCUGGCGGCGUGCCUAACACAUGCAAGUCGAACGAGAAAGUGGGAGCAAUCCCACGAGUAAAGUGGCGCACGGGUGAGUAACACGUGACUAACCUACCCUUGAGUGGGGGAUAACCUAGGGAAACCUGGGCUAAUACCGCAUAAUACCUACGGGUCAAAGGAGCAAUUUCGCUUUAGGAGGGGUCGCGGCAGAUUAGUUAGUUGGCGGGUAAUGGCCCACCAAGACAGUGAUCUGUA
rnacentral:rRNA from 1 species